rnacentral:rRNA from 1 species
AUUGAACGCUGGCGGCAGGCCUAACACAUGCAAGUCGAGCGGAGCGGCGGACGGGUGAGUAAUGCCUAGGCAUCUGACUGGUAGUGGGGGAUAACGUCCGGAAACGGGCGCUAAUACCGCAUACUAUCAGAUGAGCCUAGGCCGGAUUAGCUAGUUGGUGGGGUAAAGGCAUACCAAGACGAAGAUCCGCAACUGGUCUGAGAGGAUGAUCAGUCAAACUGGAAGUGAGACACGGUCCAGAAUCCUACGGGAGGCAUCAGGGGGGAAUAGGGGACAAGGGGCGAAAGCCUGGUCCAGCCAUGCCGCGUGUGUGAAGAAGGUCUUCGGAGUGUAAAGCACUUUAAGUUGGGAGGCGUUACCAACAGAAUAAGCACCGGCUAAAUUCGUGCCAGCAGCGGCGGUAAAAC